rnacentral:rRNA from 1 species
GCUUGUCUCAAAGAUUAAGCCAUGCAUGUCUUAGUGUAAAUAACUCUUAUGAAACUGCGAAUGGCUCAUUAAAUCAGUUAUCAAAUACGUGAUGGUCGCCUACUACAUGGAUAACCGUAGUAAUUCUAGAGCUAAUACAUGCACAAAGGCCCACUCACGUGGGUUGUGAUUAUUAGAUAACAGACCAAUAUUCCUCGUGUCUAUUGUGGUGACUCAUAGUAACUGAUCGGAUCGCACGGGCUUGCCCGCGACAAACCAUUCAAGUUUCUGCCCCAUCAGCUUUCGAUGGUAGUGUAUUGGACUACCAUGGCUUUUACGGGUAACGGAGGAUUAGGGUUCGAUUCCGGAGAGGGAGCCUGAGAAACGGCUACCACAUCUAAGGAAGGCAGCAGG